UUGCGUUGUAGACGUUUUGUUGUUUUACUCUUUUAAGUCACUAUAUAAGUAUUCUCGUUCUCUGCAGUCUGUGAUUUCGAUAGGUAAAGUGUCCAGACAUUUUCUGCAGUUUCUUAGAUUUCUCCAGUAAAAUGAAGACAUUAGUUGCAUUCCUUGCUUUGAUGAUGAUUUGCACGUCUGCGUACGGAAUGUUAGGUCUGGAGUACGGAGCUGAACUUUCUAAAUUGUACGGUGUUCCUUUUCCAUACGCUGUGGGUCUAGGUAAAGGUCUGGAGGCUGGAAAAGGUUUGGAAACGGGGUACUUAUACUACCCGCUCAUUGCUAAAGAGAAAGAAUUGGGGUUUGGUUUAGGAAAAGGUUUGGCUUUUGGUAAAGGACCCAGAUAUGGAAAGUUUCUCAUCUAAUUAACAAAAAAGAAAUCAGAGGCUAUAUCAAAAUCUGCAUUUGCUUGAUUCGUAAGCUUUUCUACAGUUAUAAUUCUUCCAUAAGUACUAUUCAAACGCAAAACACAUGUUAAGCAGAAAAUAAAAGCUUUUUUGUUGUCUGUA